rnacentral:tRNA from 1 species
GCUUCGUUAUCGCAGUAGGCAGCGCGUCAGUCUCAUAAUCUGAAGGUCGUGAGUUCGAUCCUCACACGAGGCA